rnacentral:rRNA from 1 species
UGGGGAAUAUUGCACAAUGGGCGAAAGCCUGAUGCAGCGACGCCGCGUGAGGGAUGACGGCCUUCGGGUUGUAAACCUCUUUCAGUAGGGAAGAAGCGAAAGUGACGGUACCUGCAGAAGAAGCGCCGGCU